rnacentral:rRNA from 1 species
UCCAAAAACAUAGCCCCACGAGACCCGUGUGGGGUGAAACCUGCUCAAUGGCUGUGAAUAAACUAAUUUAAUAGCAGUUAAAUAGCCGCGGUAACUCUGACCGUGAUAAAGUAGCAUAAUCACUCGUCACUUAAUUGGUGACUGGAAUGAAUGGUCAAACGAAUCUUCGUCUGUCUCUGAAAGAAUUUAGAUGAAUUUGAAAUGGUAGUGAAGAUACUAUCAAAAAACUGUAAGACGAAAAGACCCUAUCGAGCUUUACUGGCAGCUUAUAUUACUCACAUACUAUAAAUAAUUAUAGUUAUUUACUAUAUGUAAGCUUAACAGUUUGGUUGGGGCGACCACCUCUAAAAACGUAUCAGAGGAAUUCUUAAGGUUAAUAAUAAUGUAACAAGCUUUACUGGAAAUCUACCAAUUAAUCAGUUACUAACAAGUAGGACAUAAUGACCCGUUUGUUAACUUACUUUAGCAAACGACAAUGAAAAAAGUUACCGUAGGGAUAACAGGGUAAUAUUUUCAAAGAGUUCAUAUCGAUGAAAAUGUUUGCCACCUCGAUGUUGAAUUGUGGUAUCCUAGAGGUGCAGCAGCUUCUAAGGGUUGGUCUGUUCGACCAUUAAAACCUUACAUGAUUUGA